AUGUUUCCAAUACUGGUCCUGCCUACAAGGUCCUUCCUUGACCCUGCCUACAAAGGGCACUUUUACAUAUCACUGGGACCAGCACCCAGGUGAUGUGAAUUCUCUGCCUGAACCCUGCCUACAAAGAGCAUUGUGGCUUAUGUCUAGGUCCAUUAUGUAAGUGAUGUGACUCCCUUCUACUGCCUUGGCCCUGUACUUAUGUUGCAUUGUGUGACACACACUUGGUGAUAUGGUUUAGAUUUGUGUCCCCACCCAAAUCUCAUGUCAAAUUGGAGGAGGGGCCUGCUGGGAGGCGACUGAUAUGGGACUGUGAUGCACAAGGCUGCUAUAAACCUUCUUGUACAAGUCGCAUACAUAUAUUUUUAUUUUUCCUAACUAAAUACUUAGGACCAAAACUGUGCACUCACUGUAUAGGUGUGUGUUGAACUUUUAUAGGGAACAACCAAGCAGCUUUCCGAAAAAGCAGGCAGCUUUCCAAAAGUGGUUCAAUCACUUUGCUGCAGCCAGCAGUGUAGAAGAGUUCCAGUUGCUCCUCUGCCUUCUCGACAUUUGGUAUUGUCUGUUUUUUUGGGUUUUGUUUUUUGUUUUUUUAGCUAUUCUGUAUAUGUGAAGUGAUACAUCACUGAGGAUUUCAUUUGCAUUUCCCUCAUAACUGAAGAUAUUGAACACAUUUUCAUGCAUGUAUUGGAUAUUCGUAUGCUUUAUUUUAUCAAAUGUUCAAAUCUUUUUCCUAUUUUUUAAACUGGGCUUUUGCAUUUUGGUUAUGAAUAUACAGGAAUUUAUAUAUCAUGGAUACAAGUACCUUGUCAGAUACAUGUCCUAUGACUAUUUUCCCCAAGGUUGUGGCUGCCUGUACAUUUUCUCAAUGAUAUUUUUUAUGGAUGGACAUAAAAUUUUAACUUUGGCAAACUCCAAUUUAUCUAUUUCUUUUUUUAGUUUUACAAUUAGUAUUUUCUAGGUUCUGUCUGAAAAAUUUUUGCCUACCCCAAGGACAAGAAGAUAUCCUCCUACAUUUUCAUCUGGCUUUCACAUUUGGAUCUAUGAUCCAUUUCAAGUUUAUUUUUAUGGACAGCAGGGGUUCUCCACGUGUGCUUCCCAGACUAGCAGCAUAAACAUCACCAGGUGAUAUGGUUUGAAUCUGUCUCCCCACUUAAAUCUCAUGUCAAAUUGGAGGAGGGGCCUGGUGGGAGGUGAUUUGUUCAUGGGGCCAGAUUUCUCCCUUGCUGUUCUCUUGAUGUUGAGUGAGUUCACACAAGAUCUGAUGGUUUAAAAGUGUGUGGCACUUCUCCCUUCACUCCCUCUCUCCUGCCACCAUGUGAAGAAGGUGCUUGCUUCUCCCUUCACCUUCCGCCAUGAUUGUAAGUUUCCUGAGGUCUCCCAGUCAUGCUUUCUAUUAAGCCUGUGAACUGUGAGUCUGUUAAAUCUCUUUUCUUCAUAAAUUACCCAGUCUCAGGUAGUUCUUUACAGCAGGGUGAGAACAGACUGAUACACCUGGGGACUUGGUAAAAAUGCAAAUGCUCAUGCCUCACACAAGACUUACUGAAUCAGAAACUCUGUGGGCGGGGCCCAGAAAUCUGGAUUUUAAUUAGCCCUCCUUGGGAUCCUGCUGCACACUAACGUGUGAGGACCACAUGUGUAUGGUAUGAUGUAAGAACUAAGGUCCAUUAUUUUUCAUACUAAUACCCAGUUUUUCCAGCACCAUUUUUUUCAAGUCUCUCCUUUGGUCCUUGAUUAAAUGUGGCAACUUGUUGAAAAUAAACGGAUCAUAUAUGUGGGAUUUGUUGAUCUGUGCAAGUCAAUCUAUUCAUUCUUUCACCAAAACCACACUGUCUUGAUUAUGAUAGCUUUUUAGUAAGUCUUGAAAUUGAGUAGUGUACACACAUCCACCUUGUUCUUUUUCAAGAUCGUUUUGGCUGUUCUAAAUCCUUUGCAUAUGCAUAUACAUUUUAGAAUCAUCUUGUCAAUUUCUUCUUCCCUCCCCUGCAAAAUAGCCUACUAGGAGUUUGAUUAAAAUUGUUUAGAAUUUAUAGAUCAACUUGAGGAAAUGGACAUCUUAAAUAUACUGAAUAUUACAUCCAUGAAUAUGGUAUAUCUCUCCAUGUCUUUACUUUCUUUCUCUCAGCCAUGUUUGUAGUUUUCAAUGUAGAGUUUUCUUCCACAUCUUUGAUUAGGUUAAUUCUAGAUUUUUAUAUCAUGAAUUAUAUUACGGUUUUAAUGUCAUUUUCUUAUUGUUCAUUAUUAUAGAAAUACAAUUUCAUAUGUUUAUUUUGAGUCAUGUGACCUUGACAAAUUCACUUAUAAGUACUAAGGUUGUAUGUUUAUAUAAUUAUUCAUCUGUAACAAUAGUUUUACUUUUUUUCUGAUCUGAAUAUCUUUUAUUUCUUCUUCUUAUCUUAUUGCACUAAGACCUGCAGAACAAAGUUGAAUAUAAGUGGUGAGAGUGGCCAUACUUCCACCCAAGGCAAUCAUGGGGAAAUAAUUUGAUGUUUCACCAUUAAAUAUGAUGUUAUCUGUAGGCUUUUCAUAGAUGCCCUUUAUCAGAGUAAGGAAGUUCCCUUCAUUCCUAGUAUGCUGACAUUUUUAAAAAAUUAUAAAUGGGUACUGGGUUCUGCUAAAUUCUUUUUCUGGAACUAUUAAGAUGAUCACAUCAUUGUUCUCCUCAUGUUGUUAAUGUAGUGAAUUACACUGAUUAAUUUUUUAGAUGUUAAACUUGCAUACAUAAUAAGCCCUACUUUGUCGUGAGUUAGUAUCCAUUUUAUAUAUUUUUUAUUCAACUUAUAAAUAUUUUGUUAAAGAUUUUUGCAUCUAUAUUUGUGAGUAAUAUUUCUGUAAUUUUCUUUCCUUGGAAUCAUCAGAUUUGGAAUCAGAGUUGUGCUCCUAAAAUACACUGGAAAGUAGUCUCUCUUCCUCUGUUUCCUGAAAGUGUGUGUGUAAAAUUGGUAUUACUUAUUUCUUAAAUGUUUGGCAGAAUUCACUAAUGAAAUAAUGUGAGUCUGGGGUUUUCUUUGUGAGAAAGCAUUUGAUAAUGAAUUCAAUUUCUUUAACAGAUAUAAAAUCUAUUACAAUUUCUUAUUAGUUUUUAUUUAUGUUUCUUCAUCUGCAUCCUAAUAAUUUUGCAUGUUGUGUUUUUAUUAUUAGUCAAUUCAAACUAUUUUCUCUUUCCCCAUGUGAUUUAUUCUUUGCCCCGUGGAUUAUUU
rnacentral:lncRNA from 10 species